rnacentral:lncRNA from 1 species
UAAGAUGUAGAAAAGAGAGAAAAGAAAGAAAAGAAAGGAAAACCAAAAAAGAGGAGAAGCCCCAUAUCAUACCUAUCUCCAUGCCUUGUGAGUCCCACGGCCACCCACUCCUUACCCACUCGUCACCCACCUCUCAACCUUCCACUUGGAUGUUUGCUAUGUGGCGCACAUCCAAGCUUUCUUUGUGCUUAUUUAAAGGCUCCCUUUUUCCUCAUUUCUCCCACUAUUUCUUCUUCCAUUUUCAUUUUCU